rnacentral:rRNA from 1 species
AGAGUUUGAUCAUGGCUCAGAACGAACGCUGGCGGCGGGCCUCAUACAUGCAAGUCGAGCGCGAAAGUCCGCAAGGAUGAGUAAAGCGGCGCACGGGUGAGUAACACGUGGAUAAUCUACCCUUUGGAUUGGAAUAACCUGUCGAAAGACGGGCUAAUGCCGAGUAAGCCUUCGAGAGCGUGAAGCUCUUGCAGGGAAAGAUGGCGCAAGCUAUCGCCGAUGGAUGAGUCUGCGUCCCAUUAGUUAGUUGGUGAGGUAACGGCUUACCAAGACAAUGAUGGGUACCUGGUCUGAGAGGAUGACCAGGCACACUGGAACUGAAACACGGUCCAGACUCCUACGGGAGGCAGCAGUAGGGAAUAUUGCGCAAUGGACGAAAGUCUGACGCAGCCACGCCGCGUGAGUGAGGAAGGCCUUCGGGUUGUAAAGCUCUGUCGCCUGGGAAAAACGGCUAUUGGGGGAAAGUUCCAGUAGCGUGAUGGUACCAGGAAAGGAAGCACCGGCAAACUCUGUGCCAGCAGCCGCGGUAAUACAGAGGGUGCAAGCGUUGUUCGGAAUUACUGGGCGUAAAGCGUGCGUAGUCGGUAUUGAGAGUCGCGGGUGAAAUCCCAGGGCUUAACCCUGGAACUGCCUGCGAGACCUCAGUACUAGAGUGUGAGAGGGGAUAGUGGAAUACCCAGUGUAGCGGUGAAAUGCGUAGAGAUUGGGUGGAACACCGGUGGCGAAGGCGGCUAUCUGGCUCACAACUGACGAUCAGGCACGAAAGCGUGGGGAGCAAACAGGAUUAGAUACCCUAGUAGUCC